CUACGUGCCAGCAGCCGCGGUAAUACGGAAGGUCCGGGCGUUAUCCGGAUUUAUUGGGUUUAAAGGGAGCGUAGGCUGGAGAUUAAGUGUGUUGUGAAAUGUAGACGCUCAACGUCUGACUUGCAGCGCAUACUGGUUUCCUUGAGUACGCACAACGUUGGCGGAAUUCGUCGUGUAGCGGUGAAAUGCUUAGAUAUGACGAAGGACUCCGAUUGCGAAGGCAGCUGACGGGAGCGCAACUGACGCUGAAGCUCGAAGGUGCGGGUAUCGAACAGGAUUAGAUACCCUGGUAGUCCGCACAGUAAACGAUGGAUGCCCGCUGUUGGUACUUGGUAUCAGCGGCUAAGCGAAAGCAUUAAGCAUCCCACCUGGGGAGUACGCCGGCAACGGUGAAACUCAAAGGAAUUGACGGGGGCCCGCACAAGCGGAGGAACAUGUGGUUUAAUUCGAUGAUACGCGAGGAACCUUACCCGGGCUKAA
rnacentral:rRNA from 1 species